UAGUGUCUGGCCUGUAACGGUCCCUCUAUACGAGGGGUAAAUGGGAAUGUGGCGCCGCGUUCGGAAGAACGCCAAUCCACAGCUGCCCCCGCAACUGUAAGCGGGUAGUCGCAUGCCGGGACGCCACUGGGGGCCUAAAACCCUUGGGAAGGCGGCAUGCGACGCCGAUCCGCAAGCCAGGAAACCUGCCGUUCGAUCGAGGAUAGGC
rnacentral:ncRNA from 1 species